GACGAACGCUGGCGGCGUGCUUAACACAUGCAAGUCGAACGGAAAGGCCCCUUUGGGGUUCCUCGAGUGGCGAACGGUUGAGUAACAGUUGCGUAAGCUGCCCUUGCCUUCGGGUUACCUUCCUUAAACUGGGGGUAAUCCCGUGUAGAAAUCCUUUCUGCCUGCAUGGGGUUGGAAAGCUUCGUCGGUUGUGGAGGGACUCGCGGGUUGUCUGCGUUUUGGUGGGGUCGGGGCUUACCAAGGCUUUGACGGGGAGCCAGCCCGGGAGGGCGACCGGCCCCAGUGGGACUGGGACUCGGCCCAGACCCCGACGGGAAGGAGCAGUGGGGAAGAGUGCACAAGGGGCAGGAGCCUGAUGCAGCAACGGCGCGGGCGGGAGGACGGCCUUGGGGUUGGAAACCGCUUUCAGCAGGGGCGGAGCUGGUGGUGACGGUACCUGCAGAAGAAGCACCGGCUAACUACGUG
rnacentral:rRNA from 1 species